rnacentral:rRNA from 1 species
UACGUAGGAGACGAGCGUUGUCCGGAGUUACUGGGCGUAAAGGGUGCGCAGGUGGCGGCGCGCGUGGGGGGUGAAAUCGCCCGGCUUAACUGGGCGGGGGCCUUCCAGACGGCGUGGCUUGAGCAGCGGAGGGGGACGUGGAAUUCCGGGUGGAGCGGUGAAAUGCGUAGAGAUCCGGAGGAACACCGACGGCGCAGGCAGGUCUCUGGGCCGAUACUGACGCUGAGGAGCGAAAGCGUGGGGAGCGAACAGG